AUAUCUCUCCGUACGGGAAGGAUGAGAAGCUUCGACUAAGGUUCGAUUCGAGCGAAAGCGAGAGAACGUUGCCAACGGCAACGGCCGAAGGGCGAAGCGCGCAGCGCUGAGUCAUCCUUCCCCCACCACCA
rnacentral:sRNA from 1 species